CUGCAGCCAAUGGAGCCGACCGUGCUGGCCUCCUCCCCAUGGCACCCGGUGUGCAGCCUCCUGGGUAGUGUGCAGCCUGUUGCUUGUACAGGCUGCCCUAAGGGGCCCUGGAGACAGCC
rnacentral:snoRNA from 1 species